rnacentral:tRNA from 1 species
GCCUACGUGGUGUAAUUAGAAGCACACUCAACGUGUAUUCGAGAAGUCCAGGGUUCGAGUCCCGGUGAGGGCA